CCUGAGUGAGGACCUUCGGGCUCCGACCGUCCAACCCUUUGUGAACACCAACUUGUUGUCUUCGGGGGGCGACCCUGCCGUUUCGACGGGCGAGCGCCCCCGGAGGAUCCAUCAACACUGCAUCUUUGCGUCGGAGUUUAAGGUAAAUUAAC
rnacentral:misc_RNA from 1 species